rnacentral:rRNA from 1 species
CGGCAUGCCUAACACAUGCAAGUCGAACGAGAUCUUCGGAUCUAGUGGCGCACGGGUGCGUAACACGUGGGAAUCUGCCCUUUGGUUCGGAAUAACUCAGGGAAACUUGAGCUAAUACCGGAUGAUGACGUAAGUCCAAAGAUUUAUCGCCAAAGGAUGAGCCCGCGUAGGAUUAGCUAGUUGGUAGGGUAAAGGCCUACCAAGGCGACGAUCCUUAGCUGGUCUGAGAGGAUGAUCAGCCACACUGGGACUGAGACACGGCCCAGACUCCUACGGGAGGCAGCAGUGGGGAAUAUUGGACAAUGGGGGAAACCCUGAUCCAGCAAUGCCGCGUGAGCGAUGAAGGCCUUAGGGUUGUAAAGCUCUUUUACCCGGGAUGAUAAUGACAGUACCGGGAGAAUAAGCCCCGGCUAACUCCGUGCCUGCAGCCGCGGUAAUACGGAGGGGGCUAGCGUUGUUCGGAAUUACUGGGCGUAAAGCGCACGUAGGCGGCUAUUCAAGUCAGGGGUGAAAGCCCGGGGCUCAACCCCGGAAUUGCCCUUGAAACUAGAUAGCUAGAAUCAUGGAGAGGUGAGUGGAAUUCCGAGUGUAGAGGUGAAAUUCGUAGAUAUUCGGAAGAACACCAGUGGCGAAGGCGGCUCACUGGACAUGUAUUGACGCUGAGGUGCGAAAGCGUGGGGAGCAAACAGG